CUCUCUUCCAGCUCUCUAAUUCUGUUGGAUCAUUUGUUUCAAAAACGGUCCAAAAUGUCAGAAAAACACAAUACAAAAAAAAGAUUAGAUUAAAAAAGAAAAAAACAUUGUGCUUCAACAAAAAAACAAAACAACAAUUUGGUCCAGUUUACAAGAAAACAGUACCAGGAACCACUGACAGCCUGCCUUGCUGUUUCCUGAUGCUAUAAACACAGAAGAGUUUCAACUGCCGUGAAGAUAGUAGAUCAGAGAUAUUCAACAGAGGUUAUUGUUUAAUCAAAAAAAAAAAAAGGUUUUACAAAAAGUUAAAAUAUGUCUGAAAAUAUGCAUAAACACGAGUCCAACAUAUUAUAAGCAAAGAUAAAU